rnacentral:rRNA from 1 species
AAGGGAUUUGGUUGUAGCUGGUUCAUUAAUUUGAUGCUGUGCACACCUUCUCUCUUUCAUCCACACACACCUGUGCACCUGCUGCGCAGAUGGGGAAUUUAUUGAUUGUUCUCUAAGAACAAUUGGUGUUGGACCCUCUGUCUACUCAAUACAUAUAAACUCAAUUUAUUUAGAAAUGAAUGUAUUGGAUGUAACGCAUCUAAUACUAAGUUUCAACAACGGAUCUCUUGGCUCUCGCAUCGAUGAAGAACGCAGCGAAAUGCGAUAAGUAAUGUGAAUUGCAGAAUUCAGUGAAUCAUCGAAUCUUUGAACGCAAUGCGCUCGUAGAUGCUCGUAGGAUCGCUAGCCUGUUUGAGUAUCAUGAAAUCUUAUGCUCGCAAUCUUUUGUUAACUCAAUUGGUUUUGCCUUGGUCUUGGAGGUCUUUGCAGCUUCACACCUGCUCCUCUUUGUGUAUUAGCUGGAUCUCAGUGUUAUGCUUGGUUCCACUAGGCGUGAUAGGCUCGCUGAGAUGCUCGCUGAUAGUGCAGGUGGCCAAGGGAAAUGCAGAUGAACCGCUCCUAAUAGUCCAUUGACUUGGACACUAUUUCUUAUGAUCUGAUCUCAAAUCAGGUAGGACUACCCGCUGAACUAUGGCUCGCUGAUAGAGAUUGCGCGCCUGU